AAGUUGUAUUGCUAAAAUGGUGAAAUGUUGACGAGAAAUUUAGCAAAAGCCUUCAUUUUAUCUUCUUCUCUUAAUUUUGUUUUCAUUUUCUUUCUUUGAUUUUGCUUGGUUGGGUUUCUCCCUACCAGUAUGUCAGUCUGAACUUGGGCAUUAGGAGACACUGAAUCGUCUUCCACCCGGUAUGGACGUCUCCUUAUUGCUUCUCUUGAUUUUGCGGUUUACUUCUGAAUGUGUUGUGGCUUUACCAGUUCUGAAUGUGUUUUUAUCUUAGUUCUUCAAAAGGGGGCGGGCAGAUGCAGCAAUAAUGUCCUCAUGAUGCUUUUAUUUUUGGUAUAUUCAUGCUUUUAUUUUAGGUAUAUCAUGUGAAGUCGGUGCUGUUUUUUGCUGUUUAACAGAGAAAGUAUCUCUGCCUAUAGAUAUUGUUUGUCUUUUUUCAGAAGCUAGAGAGUCUCUAUCGGAAGAGAUUGUAGAGGUCGUGACUCACUCAAUGUCUAGGUCUCAAACCCCUUUCCAUAUCAGAGAUGACAUGGAACCUUUGGAAGCGAUUCAAGCUGUGGAGAGGGCGGUUGAGGUUGAUCGCAGAGGGACACAGUAGGAGAUGAUGAGGAGAUCUGGGGCAAUGAAUUAAUCACUCCCACUAUCACUCCUAAAGAUAACAACAAUCUCAACCAAGAAAUUGAAACCACAUAAUGCCCCUCAUGCAGCCAUAACAUUGAAGUAAAAGAUUAGGUACUUAUUAAUUUAAGAAGAGGUGGCCAGGUACAAAAUGGUGGAUCUAUUCAGAAAAAUUGCUGAAAUAUCUUUAAACUUUUUGUGUUCGUCAUGGGAGUGACAGACAUGGUGAGUUACUACACCUUUGUUUUUUUCCCUAUUUUAGUUUGAAUUUCAGAUUAGUUUACUGCAGAUUUAAACCAGCUCUCAAUUUUGAAACUCAAAUUCCUUGAACAUGACAUAAAGGGAUAACCCAAAAUAAUUAAGGAAUUGAGACAUUGUAAAGAAUUUAAUAAGAAUUUGACAGCGGCUAUCAGUAAUAUGAAAAGAGUAAGAUGCAAAUCAGAUUGAUGGUGGUGCCAAGGUUUCGGGAAUCAUUACAUACAGAUAUAGCAAUUUGGUUUAGUUAAAAGGUAGAAAAUGCACUCCACUUUGAAAAGUUUAACUUUUUCAUUCAAGUAUUGCCUGAAUCUUUCUUCUCUUUGUUUUUUAAGAAUCCUUUUUUGUUGGUUGAACAAUUUAUUUUGAUUUACACUGUUCUCAAUGAUUCAGGUAUGAAUAAUCUUAAUUGCAACAAGCUUUAUUAUUUCCAUGUUGCUUUUUCACUUGAUUUUUGUCUAAGAAUGUCUUAUAUCUUUUCUUCACCGUCUUGAAAUCACAUUGAUUAUUGGCCUAAUUUUUAAAUUGAUCAUGAGGGGCUAGCCUCGAAAUGUUCUCUCUCGCUCUCUCUACAGGAAAAUAGUUCUUUCUGUUUGUAUCCAUUAAACAAAAUUAGAAUUGAUAUUUGACAUUUUUUAUUUUCCCCUUUUUAUUGAUGCCAAAGUUCAACCUUUUGCAGCUCUCUUCAAUUUCCUCCACACGAUCCUUUGAAACUUUGUGGUUCUGUGCAAACCCGAACUGAUGGGCUGGCUCUCUAUGCACUCAUGUAGAUGGUGGGAUUUGUGAAUUUUGUGCCAACUUCAGUUGAAACUGCGGAGAAAUCGAAGACACGGGGGGACACCUGGUCAUUUGAAGAACUGCAAAUGAAGGUGGAGAGCUAAUUGGAGUUUUUCGGUUCUUGGUUUUCAAUGUAAGACCUUCUGAAAGGAGCUUGGAUCCUUCAGGGUCCGUCUUAGUUUUUUAUACAUAAUAAUCUCAAAUUUUCCUUCAUAGAUCCAAGGCAUCUCUAUAUGCACCUGGUGGUCUCUAUCACAUUGUGGAAUGAAAGCACUUCAGGUUUAGUAUGAUGUUGUCCACUUCUUUCACAUGAGACUUGAUAGAGUAUUGAAGUUUUGUUGAAGUAUGGAAAACUAGAGAAAAAGUUCUCUCUUUCUUCAAAAGAUCUAUUCCAUUCCCCAGUAAGUUUUGCUCAAGUGUCCCUUGCUUACAUUAAUUUCUUCAAAAGAUUUAUAAGCAUUAUGUAUUUCACAUCCAUAGGAUGUAACGUGUUCUUCUUAAUUCUCAUAUAUUCCAUUCCUCUAAUUUUUUUCUUA